rnacentral:rRNA from 1 species
UACGUAGGGGACAAGCGUUGCUCGGAAUUACUGGGCGUAAAGGGCGCGUAGGCGGCCUCUUUAGUCAGACGUGAAAUCCCCCGGCUUAACCUGGGAACUGCGUCUGAUACUGGGAGGCUAGAGUUCGGGAGAGGGAUGUAGAAUUCCAGGUGUAGCGGUGAAAUGCGUAGAUAUCUGGAGGAAUACCGGUGGCGAAGGCGGCAUCCUGGACCGAAACUGACGCUGAGGCGCGAAAGCUAGGGGAGCAAACGGG